rnacentral:rRNA from 1 species
UACCAGCACCCCGAGUGGUCGGGACGUUUAUUGGGCCUAAAGCAUCCGUAGCCGGUUCUACAAGUCUUCCGUUAAAUCCAACUGCUUAACAGGUGGGCUGCGGAAGAUACUAUAGAGCUAGGAGGCGGGAGAGGCAAGCGGUACUCGAUGGGUAGGGGUAAAAUCCGUUGAUCCAUUGAAGACCACCAGCGGCGAAGGCGGCUUGCCAGAACGCGCUCGACGGUGAGGGAUGAAGCUGGGGAGCAAACCGG